GCAGUGCUUGUUGUAUUCCAAGAUGCUGCCUGUUUUGCCUGUGUUUGGCUACGCUCGUCCAGGGCGAUGCAAGCAUUCAGAUGUGGAGUGUUGACGUGUUAAAAAAUAACGAUGUGAUCCGGGAACUAGAAAACGGCGGUUACUUCGAUAUUUGGGGCGACAAUACAACCCACGCCCAGAUUCUGGUAAGCUCGACCUGUAGGAGUACGUUGGUACAGCAGGUGCUGGAGUCCUCAGAGA